GAACCCUAACCCCAAACACAAUUUCAUUUUCAUCAGCAUCCAACCCUAACCCCUUUUUUCCUCUUCUCUACCGUUUCUCCUCUCCUCUGCCGUGAACUCCUGGAGCCUGACCCGCUGCAGGUAGCACCUCCAAUGGUGGAAACCACGGCGGCGCCUCUCUAGUUCUCCUUGGUUCAUCUUCGUGGCCCCAGUUGCAACCCUCGGAUUGUGACGCUGCUGGUGUAUCCACGCCGGUGGGUCUGCGUCACCACUGUCUCAGAGCUCUGCGUCUAGUCUCCAUUGUUUCUCUGUCAACGGAGCUGGUAUAGCCUGGUUAACAAUGACUUUCACAAGAAGAAGAGCCACAAGUGGUUUGUAUGGCAGCGGCAACAUAACGGGAGAAAGAAAUAGAAAAAUUGCUAAGGCAGAAUGGUGCGACUAUGAGUGGCAUUAGAAGUUAGAACACAAGAAGAAAGAAGAAGAAAUGGGUCCAAUAGUGCAAUGAGAAAAAAGAGGGGGGUGCUUGCAAUGUGGCUGAGAGUGAGAGUGAGUGGCACAGUUUGCAAAGAGGCACCAACUCAGAACAAGUGUGACAUAUUGUCUCAUGUGCUGCAUUUGUUGAUGUUUUGAAAGUGGAUAAAUUUUUAUGUAAUAAGGUUAACAAGAAACUAUCAUUCUAUGUAAAUAAAUUAUUAUUUAUCUUAUGUUACCACUACUUCUUCUUGAAUAACA